rnacentral:sRNA from 1 species
UAAGGUUCGAUUCGAGCGCAGCGAGAAAGCGUUGCCGCAGGCAACGACCCGAAGGGUGAGGAGCGGAGCGACGAAUAAUCCUUCCCCCACCACCA